GACGAACGCUGGCGGCACGCCUAACACAUGCGAGUCUAACGGACUUAAAAGAGCUUGCUUUUUUAAGUUAGUGGCGGACGGGUGAGUAACACGUGAGCAACCUGCCUCUGAGAGGGGGAUAGCUUCUGGAAACGGAUGGUAAUACCCCAUAAAAUAUAAAUAUCGCAUGAUAGAUAUAUCAAAGAAAUUCGCUCAGAGAUGGGCUCGCGUCUGAUUAGAUAGUUGGUGAGGUAACGGCUCACCAAGUCGACGAUCAGUAGCCGGACUGAGAGGUUGAACGGCCACAUUGGGACUGAGACACGGCCCAGACUCCUACGGGAGGCAGCAGUGGGGAAUAUUGCACAAUGGAGGGAACUCUGAUGCAGCGAUGCCGCGUGGAGGAAGAAGGUUUUCGGAUUGUAAACUCCUUUUAUCAGGGACGAUAAUGACGGUACCUGAAGAAAAAGCUCCGGCUAACUACGU
rnacentral:rRNA from 1 species